AUGUUGAUUGAAUUUGUGAAUGAACAGUACAGUCUCAAGGAAAUACACUAUCAUCCAUUGCAGAGAGAUUCACCUCAAAGGAAGUCCUGUGCUGCUGUGAAGAUUAUACCACAGAAGGUAGAAAAGGGAGAAGAUGAAAUGUGUAAGCUAAAGGAAGAGAAUGAGAUUCUCCAAGAUGCACUGAGACGAUAUACAAUACAGUUGGAGUCAGCUACAAUCAAGCUUGAGGCUGCUGAGAAGGAGAGAGAGCAAAAGGAAAAAGAGGUGAGCAUAGCAAAGAAUUAAAUGUUGGAAAAUCAUUCAUAAGAUUUUAGGUUUUACUGAAAAGAUUUCACUUCUCUAUUAUGGAAAGAAAAUGAAUUGUGGUAUCUCUGUUCUCUAAAAACAAAAGAGCGUCUCUGAAAGAUUUCUCAUGAUUAUAAUUUCUCCAUCACAUUGACAUUUGUCAUUUUUCUCAUUUCCCAAGUUCCUAGCAUGAAUUCUAAACUUUUUAGAGAUACCCUCAUUUGUACUGAAUCCAUAUUCCUUCUAUAAUGGCUAAAUUGGGAUUUUGAUUAAAUAAGAGUUAUUAAAAAGUGGUUGCCAAUUAUUAUCCCUUAAGUCAGGAAUCUCCUAGUACCUUUUAAACAAUUUUGUUAGUAAAAAGAGGGAAAUGUGGGAGUGAGACAAAUACCUAUACAGCCAAAUCUUGAACUAAUCUUGCAGAAAUUAAUAGACUGAUUAUUGAGUGAAGUGAAUUUUGGAAUUCCAGUGACACCCCAGAGGAACUUUUAGGGCUAUGACUUCUUUUGAAUAACAGUGCUUUUUGUCACUAUAAAAUGAGAGGGCAAGAAGCAAGUACAUGGUAAAGUGGAUGAAGGACUGGAAAUCAAAUUUAAAACCUGAGUUGGAAUUCUGGCUUCUACUGUGUGAAAUUAGAAUCAUAGUUGGAAGAGGUCAUCUCAUUUCUGGACAAGAACUCUUUCUUGAACAUUUCCAAAAUUAUCAUCUAGGAUUCAAACUGUCGUGGAAUUUCAAACUAUCUACUCUACUGAGAAAAGUAGCUGUCCAUAGCUAUCAAAACAGUAUAGUCCAGUCCCAAGAACUCUGAGGUUCCUGACAGUACAUCCUUUAGAUUCAGUUCUGAACUUUUAAAAAUUCAAAGAGGCCUAAUCUUAGG
rnacentral:lncRNA from 1 species